rnacentral:rRNA from 1 species
UACGUAGGGGGCAAGCGUUGUCCGGAUUUAUUGGGCGUAAAGGGCGCGUAGGCGGCUUGGGAAGUCUGUGGUGAAAGCUCGUGGCUCAACUGCGAGUCGGCCAUAGAUACUCCUAAGCUCGAGUCGACUAGAGGCAGAUGGAAUUCCGGGUGUAGCGGUGGAAUGCGUAGAGAUCCGGAAGAACACCGGUGGCGAAGGCGGUCUGCUGGGGUCGAACUGACGCUGAGGCGCGACAGCGUGGGGAGCAAACAGG